ensembl:lncRNA
CGGGACUGUAGCUGCCAUAUUGAGUGUUAUGGUUUCUCCUUUAACACACAGGGUUUAUUUUGCAAUUCUGGGCAACUGACUACUAUUUGUUCAUCACUGAUACAUGCAGUCCUGUACCAGAGUUACUAUGUUGUCCACUGGAGCCAGAAAGUGAUGAAACAGAAGGAUAUCUGUUCCUUCAGUGCAAGGUAAGAUGUAAGUAGCAUGUACGUCAUUGUAAUCGUUUACAGUAAACGUUGACAAUUGUUUUAAGAUAGAACUGUUAAACGACCAACUGUAAUAUUCAGUGAUGUUGAAUAUAGGCUGUCAUUUAUGUGAUUGACUACACACUUCAUUCAUAAUUGAAUACUGUACACUCUCAGAAAAAAAAAAAAGCUGUCACUAGGGCAGUAUCCUUUCAAAAGGUCCACCGCUGCAUCAUAUUUAUCCAUAAAGGGUGAAUAGUAGAACCUUAAAGACACAUAUUAGUACCUAAAAUGUACAAAUUAGUACCUAAAUGGUACAUAUUUGUAUCUUUUGAAAAGGUAGG